AGCGAACGCUGGCGGCAGGCCUAACACAUGCAAGUCGAACGAACCCUUCGGGGUUAGUGGCGGACGGGUGAGUAACACGUGGGAACGUGCCUUUAGGUUCGGAAUAACUCAGGGAAACUUGUGCUAAUACCGAAUGUGCCCUUCGGGGGAAAGAUUUAUCGCCUUUAGAGUGGCCCGCGUCUGAUUAGCUAGUUGGUGAGGUAAUGGCUAACCAAGGCUACGAUCAGUAGCUGGUCUGAGAGGAUGACCAGCCACAUUGGGACUGAGACACGGCCCAAACUCCUACGGGAGGCAGCAUUGGGGAAUCUUGCGCAAUGGGCGAAAGCCUGACGCAGCCAUGCCGCGUGGAUGAUGAAGGUCUUAGGAUUGUAAAAUCCUUUCACCGGUGAAGAUAAUGACUGUAGCCGGAGAAGAAGCCCCGGCUAACUUCGUGCCAGCAGCCGCGGUAACAC
rnacentral:rRNA from 1 species